rnacentral:rRNA from 1 species
AACGAACGCUGGCGGCAUGCCUAACACAUGCAAGUCGAACGAGACCUUCGGGUCUAGUGGCGCACGGGUGCGUAACGCCUGGGAACCUGCCCUUAGGUUCGGAAUAACUCCCCGACAGGGGUGCUAAUACCGGAUAAUGUCUUCGGCCCAAAGAUUUAUCGCCUUUGGAUGGGCCCGCGUUGGAUUAGCUAGUUGGUAGGGUAAAAGCCUACCAAGGCGACGAUCCAUAGCUGGUCUGAGAGGAUGAUCAGCCACACUGGGACUGAGACACGGCCCAGACUCCUACGGGAGGCAGCAGUGGGGAAUAUUGGACAAUGGGCGAAAGCCUGAUCCAGCAAUGCCGCGUGAGUGAUGAAGGCCUUAGGGUUGUAAAGCGCCUUUACCCGGGAUGAUAAUGACAGUACCGGGAGAAUAAGCUCCGGCUAACUCCGUG